rfam:Felis catus c595602742.Contig1, whole genome shotgun sequence.
UUCUUUGUUAUUGUCAGCUGCUUUAUCAAAUUCCAGGCCCAUUAUCCAGCAAACACUAUAGAAAUGUUUGACAGUUGUAUUUCAAACAUUUUCUCUUUGUGGAGUGGUGCUUACCAGUGGUACAGCUCUAAGCAAGUGAACA